CACUUGGAGGACGGAAGUCAUACAUGGAACUAUUUUGCAAAUUGAUAUCUCAGCAAACUUGCAUAACUCCUGCCUGAGACAUAAAUAGGUCCUGUUCCCAUCCCUCUCACUUGGCUCACAGAGGUCUUCAGCCAGAAGGUUUACAAGAGAAACCAUGAUCUCUCUAUUCCAGGUCUUCUGGUUCCUGGUGCUCUGGGCCCAGGGCUCCCGUGCAGCCAUUUUGCUGACCCAGUCUCAAGCUUCCCUGUCCGUUACCCUUGGAGAAAGAGUCACCAUCAGCUGCAAAGCCAGUCAGGGUAUUAGCAAUUAUUUAGCUUGGUAUCAGCAGGCUCCAGGACAGUCUCCCAAGCUCCUGAUCUAUGCUGCUACCAGUAGAGCAUCUGGGGUCCCUGAACGCUUCAGUGGCAGUGGGUCUGGGACAGACUUUACUCUCACAAUCAGCAGUGUGCAGGCUGAAGAUGUUGGACAUUAUUACUGUCAGCAAUACUAUAAUUACCAAGCACCACACACGGUGAUGCAGUGCUGAACAAAAACCUCCCCA